GAGCAAUCCAUGGAGUAAAGUGGCGCACGGGUGAGUAACACGUGACUAACCUACCCUUGAGUGGGGAAUAACCUCGGGAAACCGGGGCUAAUACCGCAUAACACCUACGGGUCAAAGGAGCAAUUCGCUUAAGGAGGGGGUCGCGGCAGAUUAGUUAGUUGGCGGGGUAAUGGCCCACCAAGACGGUGAUCUGUAUCCGGCCUGAGAGGGCGCACGGACACACUGGAACUGAAACACGGUCCAGACUCCUACGGGAGGCAGCAGUGGGGAAUUUUGCGCAAUGGGGGAAACCCUGACGCAGCAACGCCGCGUGGAGGAUGAAGUCCCUUGGGACGUAAACUCCUUUCGAUCGGGACGAUUAUGACGGUACCGGAAGAAGAAGCCCCGGCUAACUUCGUGCCAGCAGCCGCGGUAAUACGAGGGGGGCGAGCGUUGUUCGGAAUUAUUGGGCGUAAAGGGCGCGUAGGCGGUCGGAUAAGUCUCGUGUGAAAUCUUCGGGCUCAACUCGGAGUCUGCACGAGAAACCAUCUGGCUUGAGUGUGGGAGAGGUGAGUGGAAUUCCUGGUGUAGCGGUGAAAUGCGUAGAUAUCAGGAGGAACACCUGUGGCGAAAGCGGCUCACUGGACCACAACUGACGCUGAGGCGCGAAAGCUAGGGGAGCAAACAGGAUUAGAUACCCUGGUAGUCCUAGCCCUAAACGAUGAUCGCUUGGUGUGA
rnacentral:rRNA from 1 species